GUGAACUUCUUGUGGGCCUGAGCCUUGUAGAUCUGAGGCCAUAUUUAGAGAAGCAGGCCUGCUAUUUCCAAGGGUGGCUGAGUGCUCACUGACCAUAGGAGGUUGGGCCUCCCCCUGGGCCUUUCACAGCUUCCAAACCAUCUGUAACACAUAGAAUUGAUUCGUUUGUGAGUGAAAUUGCACACUUUAAUCUAUUUAUUUACUUAUUUUGAAUUUUUUUAAAAAAUAUUUAUUUAUAUUCUAUGUAUGUGAGUACACUGUGGCUGUUUCAGACAUACCAGAAGAGGGCAUCAGAUCCCAUUGCAGAUGGUUGUGAGCCACCAUGUGGUUGCUGGGAAUUAAACUCAGGAACUCUGGAAGAGCUGUCAGUGCUCUCAACUGCUAAGUCAUCUCUCCAGCCCCUACUUACUUUGAUUUUUAUUGCUGCUCAGACUUACUGAUGAUGUUAAAUGCCAAUCUUGCUGGUAGGUAUGAGGAUUUGAACUUUUUUUUUCUAUGUUAAAUGCCAAUCUUGCUGGUAGGUAUGAGGAUUUGAACUUUUUUUUUCUAUUUUGAUGCUGGAGAUUUAACCCAGAACUGUGUACAUGUUAAUUUAAGCAUGUACCCUACCACUGAGGUAUACCUUUAGCCCCAGGUUUCUUUAAAAAUAGGUUUGUUCUGGUUACAGUUGUUUUUUCCUGAGAUCAACUUGUCUUUGUCACUUCUAUUCCUGACUCUAGGCCUCUGGUGUCUCUGGGGAAGUGUAUGAGUUUGAGUCUCUCCCUCUUCCUGCCCCCCACCCCCUGUGUGUGUGUGUGUGUGUGUGUGUGUGUGUGUGUGUGUGUGUGUGUGCGCGAGCGUCUCCAGGAUUGAUAAGUACAUAUAGAGACCUAGAUGUGUGACCGCUUGUGCUGUAUAGGGUUCAUGAGGGGAGCUGAGCGUGAGGGUAGAGGGCACAGGAGGCGGAAGGCUCUGCUUUCUCUGUGAUGGCAGAUACCUGCUGAGUUUGUAGACUUUGGAAUGGUCCUGGACUUUGUUCUUAGUCUUCUGAGUAAAAGAUUCCAUUCUUUUCUCUUUUCUGUAUAUCUCCUCUGCUUUUGUCAUCUCUCCAUUUCUGUCCCCUCUUCCCUUCUCUUUGUAAAAUACUAGGCAAGUGUUUUUUUGUUUUUUUUGUUUUGUUUUGUUUUGUUUUUUUGAGACAGGGUUUCUCUGUGUAGCCCUGGCUGUCCUGGAACUCACUUUGUAGACCAGGCUGACCUCGAGCUCAGAAAUCCGCCUGCCUCUGCCUCCCGAGUGCUGGGACUAAAGGUGUGUGCCACCACACCUGGCUUAGGCAAGUGUUUUAAGCAAUGAGAUGCUCCCUCCAGCUGCUCUAGUCCAACUCAACCUGUUCUCUCCUCUGUUUGAGCACUGUGUUGUUUCUUUCUCUGUUUAGAAAGCACCAUAUCAUUUUUGUCAAAUGAAGGAAUAAAACAUAUGUACCACUCUAGCUACGUUUGCUCACUCUUGUUAUAAGAAGGGUUUUUAAGAGAUCUUGGUCAUGACUUUUCAGAGAUUAGCUUGCUGCUGUUGAGCAAGACAGGCAAGAUUUUUGGCAUAAGCAUGAUGAUGUUGGACAGUGGUAACUGUCCUCAGCAGUAGAGACCGGAGCUUGAGGAAGGGAUCUUCAAAAAUAGACCCUGAGAUCCUCCGUGUUGUGACCUCAGGUGAGGCCUUUGCCUUCUCUUCCUUAGUGAGACUGAGACAGUGUAAUCUCAGGCUGCAGAGGACACAGAUGUCCAGCUAGCAGUGUGAAUGGCGCCUGGCAUGUGUCUGAUCAUUGGCACUUGAUAUCUGCCCCUUUUUAUUUUGGUAUAAACUAUGAGUUUGAUAUCUCAUAAAACCUGCAGAGUGGAAACAUGCUCAGAAGCACUUAGCUUUUACAGAGGGUCUGGUUUCACUCCCAGCACCCACUGCUGGUUUACUCCAUCUGUAACUCAAUUCCAGGGGAUCCAGAGCCCUUUUCUGACCUUUCUUGGUACCAGGCAUAUGUGCAGGUAAAACAUUCAUACAGGUAAAGUCUUUUUUUUUUUUAAUGUAAUAUUUUAUUUAAAAAACAUUUUUUAAAUUGACUUUACAUCCUGAUUACAGCCUUCCUCCCAUUCUUUUUUUCUUUUUUAAAGGAUAGGGUUUCUUGGGCUGGAGAGAUGCUUAGUGAUUAAGAGAACUGACUGUUCUUCCAGAAGUCCUGAGUGCAAUUUCCAGCUACCACACGGUGGCUCACAACCAUCUGUAAUGGGAUCUGAUGCUCCCCUCUUCUGGUGUGUCUGAAGACAGCUACAGUGUACUCAUAUACAUU
rnacentral:lncRNA from 1 species